rnacentral:rRNA from 1 species
GAGUUUGAUCAUGGCUCAGGAUGAACGCUGGCGGCGUGCUUAACACAUGCAAGUCGAACGAACCUUCGGGUUAGUGGCGGACGGGUGAGUAACGCGUGGGAAUCUGCCCUCAGGAGGGGGAUAACGGUUGGAAACGACCGCUAAUACCCCAUAUGCCGAGAGGUGAAAUGAAAUUCGCCUGAGGAUGAGCCCGCGUCUGAUUAGCUUGUUGGUGAGGUAAUGGCUCACCAAGGCAUCGAUCAGUAGCUGGUCUGAGAGGAUGAUCAGCCACACUGGGACUGAGACACGGCCCAGACUCCUACGGGAGGCAGCAGUGGGGAAUUUUCCGCAAUGGACGAAAGUCUGACGGAGCAACGCCGCGUGAGGGACGAAGGCCUCUGGGCUGUAAACCUCUUUUCUCAAGGAAGAAGAUAUGACGGUACUUGAGGAAUAAGCCACGGCUAAUUCCGUGCCAGCAGCCGCGGUAAUACGGGAGUGGCAAGCGUUAUCCGGAAUUAUAGGGCGUAAAGCGUCCGCAGGCGGCCUUUCAAGUCUGCUGUUAAAGCGUGGAGCUUAACUCCAUCAUGGCAGUGGAAACUGAUUGGCUUGAGUAUGGUAGGGGUAGAGGGAAUUCCCGGUGUAGCGGUGAAAUGCGUAGAUAUCGGGAAGAACACCAGUGGCGAAGGCGCUCUGCUGGGCCAUUACUGACGCUCAUGGACGAAAGCCAGGGGAGCGAAAGGGAUUAGAUACCCCUGUAGUCCUGGCCGUAAACGAUGAACACUAGGUGUCGGGGGAAUCGACCCCUUCGGUGUCGUAGCUAACGCGUUAAGUGUUCCGCCUGGGGAGUACGCACGCAAGUGUGAAACUCAAAGGAAUUGACGGGGGCCCGCACAAGCGGUGGAGUAUGUGGUUUAAUUCGAUGCAACGCGAAGAACCUUACCAGGGCUUGACAUCCUGCGAACCUUUAAGAAAUUAGAGGGUGCCUUCGGGAACGCAGUGACAGGUGGUGCAUGGCUGUCGUCAGCUCGUGUCGUGAGAUGUUGGGUUAAGUCCCGCAACGAGCGCAACCCACGCUUUUAGUUGCCAGCAUUUAGUUGGGCACUCUAGAAAGACCGCCGGUGAUAAACCGGAGGAAGGUGUGGAUGACGUCAAGUCAUCAUGCCCCUUACGUCCUGGGCUACACACGUACUACAAUGCUACGGACAAAGGGCAGCAAACUCGCGAGAGCUAGCAAAUCCCAUAAACCGUGGCUCAGUUCAGAUCGUAGGCUGCAACUCGCCUACGUGAAGUAGGAAUCGCUAGUAAUCGCAGGUCAGCAUACUGCGGUGAAUACGUUCCCGGGCCUUGUACACACCGCCCGUCACACCAUGGAAGUUGGCCACGCCCGAAGUCGUUACUUUAACCCUUGUGGAGAAGGACGCCGAAGGUGGGGCUGAUGACUGGGGUGAAGUCGUAACAAGGUAACC